GCCUGGACCCGGCGGGCGCACGGCUCCGAGCCCAGCGCAGCCGAGCAGGUCUGCAGAGGGGCCCCCAGAACUUUGUGUGUGUGUGUGUGUGUGCACGCGCGCGCGUGUGUGCCCAGGUGCGAGGGUGCGCGCGUGUGCUGGCGGGGAGGGAACCGACCCGAAAGAGAGCCCCAGGCUGGCAAAGUGGCUCGCCCAUCUCACAGCCGGUUGGCGCUCGCGGAGGCUCACAGAACAUUUCCUGCCUAUUGCUCACACUCUGUUGUCCACAGCAUACCCGCACCCUUGAUGGCUGACUCGUGUCUUCUGUCUCUUUAUUUUCCAUGUGUGAGCCUGUGGUUUAUCUCUGGAGGAUGUGCCUGAGGGAGGAGACAUAUACUGCCUGGACUGCCUGGCUGAUGUGAGCUAGUUUGUCUGGUUGAGUUGGAUGUUUAAAUAGAAGGCAGAACAACAACAGAAGCUUUGAGGAAGAGCCAUAACUACCUGGAGCAGAAUGAUUAUUUGGAGCCACAGAAAAUCAUUUUAGGGAGCAGUGGGUCCAGGUUCAGUGUUGUGUGUUCAACUCGGAAAGAACACAGCUGGGUGGCUGACCGGGUUACUUCUCCCCUGUGGCUCUGCUUGCAUUGGUCAUUGAGGUCAGGCAGGGGUUUGGCCACAGUGUUAGCCAUUGGCCCUGCAUUGAUCCUCACAUAGUAACACCUUGUUUGGUUAUUAAAGUGACUGAAUUGUUG
rnacentral:sRNA from 1 species